GCAAAUGCUAUUUUAAACCAUACUUCCUUGGGAGCAUUGGAUUAACAAGCCCAUCUUACGAAAGGCGUAAGUCAGUAUUAAGAUAUUUUGCCGUGUCUUCAGUGAAGGUAUCCGAUAAAUAUAUCAGUAGUUGCAGAUUAAAAGCCGUUAGUUGGUGCCAAAUGGCAAGCCCGCUGCUACAGUUGGGUGGUUUUCUUACCGCUAACAGGUUGAGAAGCUAAUAGUUUGUUUUGUAUAAGCAAAGACAAGUAAGCGGUCAAAAACGUUCUUCUGUUCCACCGAGAUGCACGUCUGGACGCAGCAUCUAUUUGUUAGUUGUUUUGUAUGGGAUGGAUCACAACAACCCAGAGAUACUGAAAGAUCCCGGUGGAGAGCUAGGUCUAACCGCAGACUGGGGAAAUUCAGAGUCCUUCUGUCCUGAAAAGGAGCCGAAGAGAUGUAGUUCCUGGACAGAGACAGAGGAUUUAAGCAUAAAUGGUUACAUGUCACAGAGCUCCAUCUCCUAUUCCUUGCAGCGAGCUGAGGUUUUGUUUAAAAACACCUUUAAUCCCAGUCUGAAAUGGCUGUUUCAUGGUCACAGUGAAGAUGAGGAAGAGGAAAAUUUUGUUGUCGCUUACAACCUGGUAUCCCGUUCGUCUGCACGUCUCCUGCGUCUUCAACAAACUCUUCUUAUUAUGUCACCUCAAUGGCAGCUGGUGGGUGAGGCACAGAUGACAUCUCCCCAGGCCUGCGUUAAAGGCCUUCCAGGUGAAGGUGGUGUUCUCUUCCUCCCCUCUUUCUGCUGCCUGCAGGGACACUAUAGAGCUCUGUGGAUGCUCCUGAAUCAGCGAUCCUCACUGGUCUUCAUACACGAGUACAGCAGGAGGGCUCGCCUAGCAGCAGCAUACGUAGCCAGAGUGAGACAUCUGUUGGAGCAUCAGCUGAAGAACUCAUACCUGACACCAAACCAGAUCCCAUCCAACUGUUCUCCAUUUAGAAUCGGUCUUGGUUUACUGAGUCAGGAACUCCGGGUCCAUCUCAACCACUGGUCCUGUCUGUUCUCCAAAGUCCAAUCUGACCACUAUCUGAGACACAGUCUUAUUCAGCAGACCAAUUUGCUGUUGGAAAUCAAACAGACUUUGGACUUACUUGGUCUGCAGGCGCUAAUUUUGAUGGAACAUUAUGUGUAUGCCAUUCUGUCCGCUAUAGCACAGACUGAAUUAGACUCUGUACCAAAAGAAGUCCUGGAAGACAUUUUAGCAGGUGCAAACCUGUAUAACCAGGCAGUGGAGGAGCAAAGAGUGCAGCACAGUGCUACCCAGCUGAGGACUACAUUAUUACAGAAAGCCCAUUAUUUCACACUGGAUUCUGGUCUUCCACAGAUUAAAAGGUAUCAUCCUUCUGCAUUCUCAGUUAAAGAGAUAAUGUCCAUUUUAGCAGUGCAUCAUGCAGAAGUGGCAGCUAAGCAGCUGCAGUACUGGGCAUUUGAGCAGAACGAACGCAUCUGUCAGGUCCACACCAACCAUAAGGUGUGCACUUGUUCUGAUAACUGCAUUAGUCAGGUGCCUAGCCUCAGCUGUGGGAUGUCCACAUUGAAAUCUGAGUGGACCUGGGAGCAGCUGCAACAUGCUUACCAAAUUUCCUCUCCUCACUUCUGCAUUAAUCAUUCUACUUUGCAGUUAUCUUUUUGCUAUUCCUGCAAUAGAACUCCACUUGUGUAUGUCCCUGACCUUCAUUUGGACAGUACUUUCUUGGAAAACUGUCAUCCUGUUUUAGCUAAGCCCAUUUCUGUCCAACACAGAAAAGAGGGCCCAAAAAAAGACCAAAUUGACCAGAAUCAAACAUACCAGUCUGAUCUCACACAGAGCAAUGUGGAAGAUUUGGAUUCAGUGCAACCGAAUAGGGAAAGAAAAACACAGUUUAAAAACUGUAUACUACUACAGACUGUCUCACCCACUUCAACCACCUUCCAUCAUCUCACAGCGCUGCCUCUGUCAAGGGUCCAACUGGACCAUUCCUCAGUACAGCUACUUUUUCAGGUGAUCUCCUCCACCUCCAGUGACCUGCUGGCUCAAGUGGUAUCAGAAACGCCUACAUCAGAAGGACCAACUGACCAGCUACUCCCAACUACAAUACCUGAUAUGUUAAAUGGGAAGGUGGACUCAAGGAUUUCAUGUGAUCCAGUCAUAAAUACAACUGAUCCAGUAAAUCAAAACAAGGACCAGAAUGUGGAAGGACCUCAGCAAAAAUGGAAAAUGACAACUCGGCCAGAUACCACUGAAAGCUCAGGCUUCCAGAGGAAUGGAGACUCAGAGAAAGAGGAUUUUACAGGAGCAGAGGGAACAACAGUGAACUCAGAGUGUGUUCAGUGGCCUCACUCGGUACAGUGGUCAGACCUUGGUCAGUCAAUGGUGUUCGCUGAUCUUCUUGAACAGUAUCACACGCUGCUUUGGACUCUUUGCAGCAAAGCCCUGUGGCUACAAAUGCAUGUGUCACAUGAAAGUAGCACUGCAGAAAGCAUCAACCUUCAAGACAACCACAUGAGCGUACACAUUCUCCACAGGAUUGGUCAAGCUUCAGCGUCAGGUCUGGUUCCAAAGGAGUGCAAAACCAUGCUGGAGGACGUCAGUCUUUAUCUGUUGAUCAUUACAGCACAUUCUCACUGGGACUAUGUGGUAUGCAGAAGUUUAGGUUCUUCUCUGAAAGAUCAGUGUCUUGCAAACCAAGGGACCAACUUUGUGAUGCCAACUUCUAAGCAAGAUGGAAGUGUGAUGAAUUCCCUGACCAUGGAGCACUUCCUACUGCUACCUCCACCUCUCCUGUCAUCUCUGUGCUGCCAUCACGUAAACAGCGGGGCCUUAGGUCCUCUUAGCCUCUUCCCCUCCAGAUUCACUCUUCGGAGACAGACUGUUAGCUUGGUGCUAGCCUCAGUACAGCUGUCUACAGUCUGGGUCAUGUCCAAGGCUUACCAAUUCCUCUCUUCAUGGAGCCUCAAUAAGUUCCUGCUUAUCACACAAGGGGACUUAAAUAGAGCUCUAACUCCAUUUAGUCUUCAGUAAAGUACAGGAGUAAGCUACAGCCAGGCAACAUUACAGGAGUGGGCUGAGCCGACAGCAACGCUCCUCCACGGAUGCAGAUAAUACUUUGAUUUCAUCAGCUGGUGUCCUAGACAGCGGCAGAUCAGCCACCUGCCUCUUCACCCUCUCCAAUAAAGACUGGUUUCUCACUCCACUCCCUGCCAGAUCGUGAUCGCAGCUCACGCUGUUAGUUCGUCUAGGCUCUGCAUAUUUUUGUAUCUCGUAUUUUCUGACCUGCCUAAUACAACUGUCUACUCUGCCUCCAAAUCCGCUGACCGCACUGUCAGGAUCGUGCUGCAGCCUCGCCUGGACCAGCCGUCUGCUGGAUAAUCCGCCCGCUAUCAGCUCUGUUCUGUCUGGCCGUUCGCCGACCCGGACCGCUGGAAUUCCCCCUCACCUCCCGAAGAGGACCGGCUGCUCCCUCCGCCUCUGGCUCUCCCCUCUGACCGCCGCUGCUGUCCACCGCUCCGCCAGCUGUGCCACACGUACGCUCUUUGGCUCACCGGUCCCCCGGAGCCUGCCUUCCCCCCCUCACACCACUUAUUGUGAGUUCGGCCUUAGUUUAAGUUUAGCUUCCUAGUCUGGCUUUUUAGUUACUAAUCCUCAGGUUGCAUUAGUUAGUUAUCAUUAGAAUUUUCCCCGCCAGCUUUUGCAUUUGGCUUUUGUAAAAUAAAUUGGUUUCUAUUUGAUUUGACUCUGCCUGUUCUGUGCAUCCUUUUUUGGGUUCUCUACCGGCCGUUCCUGACAGUACGAUCUGACCAUGAUGGAUCGAGGACGCACAGGCUGGUGCUGAGCCCGCACCAGCCCCCCUGCAUCUGCAACAGGCUGUAUCCUGCCAGGGGAUUCUCUUGGGCCAAUACUAACAGUCACUUCGAAGCUUAAAUGAUUCAAAUCAAAGAUUACCCACCCAGAUGAAUGUGUUAACCAAUAACGUCACAGAGCUGUCAGCAUGCAUUUCUCAGCCACCGGCUCAGAGUAACAUACCUCAGCCUGGUCCUGCGGGGGCUGACCAGAGCCUCCCCAUAAUGCACAAACCCUAUGUUCCGGUCCUGGAACAUUAUGCAGGGGAUCUGGGAACCUGCUGGGCAUUCCUCACGCAGGUCUCCCUAGUUUUUGAACAACAACCGCGUACCUAUAAUACUGAUAGAUCACGAAUAGCCUACCUUAUUAGCCUUCUCACAGGGGCAGCUCGCGACUGGGGAUCAGCAGUCUGGGAGUUGCAGCUGGCUAUCUGCAACUCCUAUGCAGCUUUUACUCUGGAAAUGAAAAAGGUCUUUGAUCACCCUGUGAGAGGUCAGGACACAGGCCGCCGUCUCACCUCUCUCCACCAAGGAGCACAGAGCAUGGCUGAGUACACGAUGGAGUUCCGUACCCUAGCGGCGGAGAGCGGCUGGAAUGACAUCACCCUGCAAGGAGCCUUUCAGAGGGGUUUAACCAAGGAUCUUAAGGAUGGGCUGGCGGCGCGGGACGAGGCCUCGUCUCUAGACCAAGUAAUUGCCCUUGCCAUCUGGAUUGACAACCGUUUCCGAGAGCGCAGCCGUGAGCCUGGCCCCUGCAGUCCUCCCGUGCACGCCCCAGUCCACCUGGUCCAGCCAUGAACCCACCUCGAGCGCCCCAAGUCGUCGCAGCCCUCCCCGAAGAGGAACCAAUGCAGCUUGGAUGAGCUCGGAUCUCCGCGAAGGAGAGGAACCUCCACCUGCGGACAAACUCCUGCCUCUACUGUGGCAAGGCAGGUCACUAAGCAGCUUGCCCCGCCAAACGAGCAAAAGACCAGACUCGCCAGUAAUUGGGGAGAUACUGGUGAGUCAUACCUUUGUUCAGUCCCCACGACAACUGUGGGUCUCUGCUACCCUCUGCUGAAGGGAGUGGCAGCCACACUCACCACCCUGAUCGAUUCGGGAGCUGAGGGGAAUUUUAUGGACCAGUCUUUGGUAACUAAGCUCGGCAUCCCCACGGAACUGCUGACCACGCCUCUGGUGGCUCGUGCCCUCAACGGACAGUGCCUUGCCCAGGUCCGACGGAGAACAGUUCCAGUCACCAUCCUCCUCUCAGGUAACCACCAAGAGCGCCUAACAUUCUGCAUCAUUGACUCCCUACACACCCCUCUCAUUCUAGGUUUCCCUUAGCUCCGCCAGCAUAAUCCUCACCACCUGUCACGCUGUCUGCCUUCGCUCAGCCCCGACACUGCUUCUCCCCCUUCCCAGCCUGUUCUGGUGGAUCUGUCCAGGGUGCCUGCCACCUAUCACGACCUUGCGUCAGUCUUUUGUAAGGAUCAGGCCCGGUCACUGCCCCCGCACCAAUCUUACAAUUGUGCAACUGACCUGCUGCCCGGAGCCCCCCUGCCCAGCAGCUGCUUGUACAAUCCUUCCAAACCCGAACAAGCCACCAUGGAGUUGUAUAUCAAGGACUCCCUAGCAGCUGGCCUGAUUCGUCCCACCUCCUCACCUGUCAGAGCAGGGUUUUUUUCGUUGGGAAGAAGGACAAAACCCUGCGGCCCUAUAUUGACUUCCGGGCGCUCAAUAACAUUAUCGUGAAGAACAAAUAUCCACUCCCACUUAUCAGUUCGGCCUUUGCCCCCCUCCACGGUGCCACAGUCUUUACUAAAUUAGAUAUCUGGAACGCCUACGGGAGGGAGACAAGUGCAAGAUGGCUUUUAACACCCCUUCGGCCUGACCAACGCCCCAGCCAUUUUCCAGAAUCUGGUCAGUGAUGUACUGCAGGACUUCCUGAACCGGAUCGUCUUUGUAUACCUGGAUGACAUCCUGAUCUUCUCCUGCAGCCUGGAGGACCAUCAACAGCAUGUCCGUCAGGUCCUGAAGUGCCUGCUACACAACCGCCUCUUCGUGAAAGCGGAGAAAUGCGAAUUCCAUGCUCGGACGGAAUCAUUCCUGGGCUACAUUAUAUCUGCGGGAGAGAUCAGGAUGGACUGCCGCUACCUUGGCCGGCAAGGUAGCGGCAGUAAAAGAGUGGCCCCGACCCGAGAGCCGUAAACAGCUCCAGCAGUUUCUCAGGUUUGCAAAUGUUUACCACCAUUUUAUAAAGAAUUACAGCCGUGUUGCGGUGCCACUGACAGCACUCACUUCCAUGGCGCUCAAGUUCCUUCGGAAUCCUGGAGCUGAAGCAGCCUUCCAGGAGCUUAAGGAUCACUUUGUGUCCGCGCCCAUCCUCAUCCAGCCAGACCCUAGCCUGCAGUUUGUGGUAGAGGUGGACGCCUCCGACACCGGCGCUGGGGCGGUCCUGUCUCAGGUCUCGCCCACCAACAAUAAGCUGCACCCCUGUGCAUUUUUUUUCCAAGAAACUAUCAGCCGCAGAAAGAAACUAUGACAUUGGGAACAGAGAACUCCUGGCGGUGAACCUGGCAUUGGAGGAGUGGUGUCAUUGGCUGGAG